GAAAGGAAAGGAAAGGAAAGGAAAGGGCAAAGGGAAAGGAAUUCAGCUGAUGUCUAGGGCAGGGAUACUUUUUUAUAGGUAAGUUUCCCUGCCCUGAAGACUCAUUUCUCUCUUUCUAUGUAAAUUAGGUCUCAUACACAGUCUGUUCUGUCAAGAGUCUUGAGUGGUCUUGAUUCUCCCUACAGCCCAUCCCCACUUCUUGGCCUCAUUCCCGUGCUUGCACUAUGGUAUGUUGUGUUUAUCUCCAAGAACUUCAGCAAGGAUGUUUGUCCAACAAAAGUGGUGCCCUACCUCCUCAUGGCCCCUUUCUCCUGUCACAACUUGUUCUUCCUCACACUAUGUUAAUACCAACAGUCUUUUGUUAUUACCAAGAAUUGUCUGAUGGGAUUCCUGUCUGAUUCACUGGCUCUACAGCCAUGCAGGUAUCAGUGUUUGAGACACACAUUGGACCCUUAUCUGGAGAUGCUCUUUUAAAGCAGGAAUGUGCUUUCCAGCCUCUGGGUCCUCUGAGUGGAGAAGGUAAAGAGCUGGCAUGACGUAUCUCCAGCUGUUCCUAAGCUCUUUCAAUUUCUUCCUGGGAAAAGGGAGGCACAAACUGUGUGUAGAGAUGGUCUUCUAAAGCCAGAGAUUGCAUGGAGUCAUCCCAGGGGAUCUGCACUGGUUCCUUCCUGACACUGCACAUCUUUGCCUCACCCUCAAGUGAGAGUUGUUUUCUAAUUGUGUUACUGGCUGUGUUUUCCACUGUGUUUCUCCACAAGUCCAGAGGAGGCUACCAGAAUGAUUGGAGAGACAAAGCACCUCUUCUACGAGGGAAUUGGCUGUUCAGCCUGGAAAAGAAAUGGCUUAGAGGUGACCUGUUUGCGGCUUCCAGUACCUGAAGGAAACCCACUAGAAAGACAGAGAGCGACUUUUUACAAGGGCAUGUGAUGAAAAGACAAGGGGGAAUGGAUCCAAACUGAGCAUAGUUUUAGAUUAGGUAUUAGGAAAAAAUUCUUUACUGUGAGGGUGAUAAGGCACUGGAGCAGGUUGUCCAGAGAAGUGAAUGCUGCAUCCCUGGAAAUGUUCAAGGCCAGGCUGGAUGGUGCUCUCAGCAACCUGGUCUAGUAGGUGUCCCUGCCUAUGGCAGGGAAUUAGAACUAGGGGGUCUUUAAGGUUCCUUCCAACCCAAGUCAUUCUACGAUUCUAUAAGAAUUCAGCAAAUAGAUCUGUGUUCAAAAUGCAGUGGAUUAAUAUUUCUUCACCGCAAGAGCUCACUGACUGGAAGAUUGUACCAACACAUCUGUGGCUCCCGAAGAUAAGAUCCGCAUUUUACAAGUUUAUACUCUGAUAAAUAGUAAAGCAGAAGUCAGUAUCUGCAUCGGAAGUAUUGGCAUUAUUUGCCAAAGACUUCUUUUUGCCUCCUGUUAACAAUCUCAUCUAAAGCUUAUUGUAACUCAGGUUUUGCAGCCUAUCCUCUCCAAGGCAGAUCAAGAUAAGAUCACUGGAGUCCUUCAUCAGUUCAAGAGGGCCUCCUCCCAGCUAUAGGUUACCAGGAGUCUGUAUGGGGCUGACUAAAUUGUAGCUGGUUGCCUGAAGGGAAUGUGCUGAGCUAGCUUGCUCAGCAACAGAGUUUCUAGAGGAAGGGAAAAGCAGGUCCAGUCUGGAGAGGGAUAAGUUCAACGCUGGGGAAAGUAGAGUUAUAUCUCUAGGGGAAACAGGAGUAGAAGUUGGGGAUCUUACCUAGCUUCAGUGUACCUCCCUGCACCUUCAAUGCUUUUAAAAAUACCAAAAAAUUGAGCUUCCUUUUCACAAUUUAGUUUACAUCAUCUAAGGGCUAUACUAUGUCGAUUCUAAUUAAAUCAGUGUGUACUGCAAAUGAGAGUCUUUCUCCCUAGUCUGAGUUGGAAGCAUAUCUAAAGAUCUUCAGAUGUCAUUGUUCCUUGUUUACAUCUUGUUUCCUUUUCCUACAGGAGAGUUGGAGGUUUAACUUUUCCUUUCAACCAAAAGUAGCUGCAAAUGAAUAAAAACUUGGGGUUUAUGAGUAUUAUGAAAGCAGCAAUCACGGGAUUAUUUAAGAGGCUUUCAGCUAUAUGUGGGACACAUACAGGUGGUAGAAUCACUGGAGCAGAGAAUGGUAUCCCUAUUGUGAGGUAAUAUUUUAGUGUAAUAAUACAAAUUUUCACUGCAUUUUCUUAGCCAUUUCUUAUUUCAAAAAACACAGUCUUAAUUGUUUUCUCAUGUUCAUUUUUACUAGUACAACUACAGAAUUAUGCACUGUAAAUAAAAGGGAAUUUAGGAGAGUUUUCUUUUCAAAAUGUUCAGAAAUAGAACAGUCUGAAGGGUAGCAGAGAAUUAGCAAGACCUGCACUCCUCAAUAGAAUAAUACUUUGCAGUUCUAGUAUGCCAAAUGUCUACUUAACAUAUGUUUAGUUCAUUCUUACCUCAGUAGUCACAUCACAGACCAGGAAGUACAAAGAGGGGAUUUGAUUGAUAGACUAAUUGAUUUAACAAAUGUUAGGUAGAAAUUGUUGCCUGGGUCUGAUUUCCUAAACCCAAUAUUUUGUUUCAGUUACAAGAUCAAAGGAAAAUGCCAUACAUGCUGAUCAAUCUUCAGAUUCAGCCAACUCUGUUUGUAGAAGAUUGUAUCCAUGUAGAGCAUUAGUGCAGUACAGUCUAUGCUCCAUAUUCCCCGGUCAUACAGUGUGGCUCUGUCUCCUUCUACUGGUUUACAUUUGUUAUAGAUUUGCUCCUACAGGCUCUGGACUACUACAGAUGUACACUUUUGUGCAGUUAACUGGAGCUCCUACACUGAGUGCCAAGCCUUGGAAUUUUUUGAACCAAUUCACUCAGGAGAUUAUUAGUGUAAUUUAAUGAAUCUGCAAUCCUAUGUGUGGGCAGACCAGCAAGUUACCAGAAGAGAGUGUAGCAGGAGUAAAGUGAAGCACAAACAUCCAUCUGCUUGCCAAUAUUGCCUCACGUGCACUUGUUCGUUAGUGGAAGAAGGGGCAUGAUGUUGGAGGAAGGGAAUGCAAACAUCAGGAAGGGGAAAACACUGCCGGCAAUGAAGAUGCCACAGACCCGUGCCACACACGCUUCUGCAAGGCAGGAGUGUCUGCCCCUCACAUCUGCUGAACAGGCCACAAAGUCCUGCCUGGUUGAGCUGUGCCAGAAAGAAACAAGGAGGGUUUCUAUCAUCUCUGCAGGAAGACUGAUGACCUAAAAAUAAAAGGUUUAGCAUCUGAGGCAACUGAACUGGUUUCAUUAGCUGCAUCUACCUGAAUUUUGCCAGUGGUGGGUUUUACUGUAAGUAGACACUCCAAAAACAGCGGGGACUUAGAGAGUUGACUAGGAAUUUACUUGAAGGAAAGAGUAAUUUCAGCUGCAAAGCUGUAAGUCAGUCUGUUAGUGAGCAACUGAUACAAUGUAGUCUGGUAAAGUCUGAGCUACUAUUUCUGAUCCACCGUCACAUGAAAAGGUCCCAUCAUGUCUCAGUUGCUGUUCUGUGGCCUUUAUUGCUCUUCUUGCAAACCACACAUUCUCUGGCUUCAGAGAAUGUUUUCAAUGUUUCAUAACCUUAAAAUCACAAGCAACCUAGGAGAGCUUGCCUGUGCUUAUUUAUGCUGCUGAUGGACUUUUCAUUCUGAUAAAAAAUAUUCAGCUUCACUGCCAUGCUUAAGAACCGUAUAAUCAUACCAUUGUUUAGAAAAGAAUCCUUAGGAAAGAUCAUCAAGUUAACCCAGCACUGCCAAGCCCAUCACUAAAGCAUGUCUCUAAGUGCCACAUCUACAUGGUCCUUUUAAAUACUGCUAGGGAUGGUGACUUCACCACUUCCCUAGGCAGCCUUUUCCAAAGCUUGAUUACCGUGUCUUCACUAUAGUGAAGAAAAUUUUCCAAAUAUCCAAUCUGAACCUUCCCUGGUGCAAGUUGAGGCCACUUCCUCGUCCUGUUGCUUGUAACCUAGAAGAGGCCAACCCACAUGUGGCUACAACUCCUUUCAGAGCAGUAAGAUCUCCCUUGUGCCUUCUUUUCUCCAGGCUAAACAACCCCAGAUCCUUCAGCUGCUCCUUGUAGGACUUGGGGUCUUCUACUCAGGACUGAGGCAAACAAGGCAAUAAGUACCUCAGCCUUUACCUUCAUCCUUUGUCACUGUUUCCUCUGGCAUCCAAUAAAAGAUGGAUAUUCUCCUUAGCCCUCCAUUUGUUGCUAAUGUAUUUAAGAAGGAGUUCUUUUUUAUUGUGUGGCAGUAGACAGGUUAAGUUCUGUCUGGGCUUUGGCCCUUCUAAUUUUCUCUCUCCAUAAAACUUCAUGACAUUUUUGUCCUCCUGAGUUGCCUGCCCCUUUUUCCAGAAGUCAUAAACUCUUUUUUUCCAAAGUUCCAGCCAACACUCUGUUCAGCUGCACACUUCAGAACCCUUCUCAACUGUUUCCUCUCUGCUGUAUUUCUAGUAAUUUGAAGUCCCCCACAAGAACAAGGACUAGGAAUUGUGAAAUUCCUAACUGCUUAUAGUGUCUUUCGUCUGCCUCUUCACCCUGGAUGGAUGAUCUCUAACAGAUUCCCACCAGGGUAUCUGACUUUUUGGACUGACCCCCCGAUUUUUACCCAUAAAGGCUCAACCCUUCUGUCACCGUCAUUAAACUCUAGACAAUCAAAACACUCCUUAACAUGCAAGGCUACCCCAGAAGGAAGUCAGGGUUCCAAGCCAAGGAAGCUAAGACUGUUAGCCUUGGGUGGCCUCUUGCACAUUGACAAGAGUGGAAAGAGCCCUUGUUCUAGAAAGGAAGCCCCAAUCCGUACAUUCUGCACAGGCUGUUUUUACUGCCAAGCAUAACAGAAGAGGGAACUUACAGGUGCCUUCAUAUGGUUCUGCACCUUAGCUCCCUCUGCACAUCCUCAGACAUGGAGAUGGUGACAGAAGAUUUAACUAAGAUUGCAGAGGCAGGGGAGUACAGACAGGAGAGGGGGAGAUCUCUUUGAAAGAAAGAAAUGUACUCUUUGAAGAUAAAUCUGUCCCAGAGGCUGUAGUUGUACUAAGCUAAACAGCAAUGGGCUCAUUCUUUGACUAAGAGACUGAUAAAAUGUGGGACCAUACUCUUAAAUUGAACUUGUCUCCAAAGCAGGGCUGCCACACUCAUAUUGCCUCGUUCUCGUGCUACAGUCCUGAAUUACGUCAGCAAAGUAUUGGACCAGUUGGCCCAGAUCAACCAUUUAAGAAUGUAACACUGAAGAUGGAAAGAGAUGCCCUGCUGUGAUCACCUUUCUUGCAGGAUGCUGCAAAACUUCUGUGACAAUUGACUUAUUGGUUGCUGGGGAGGAGACAGACAGAAUGUGGGGCAGCUGUUCACUGCCCUUGAGAUCCUGGAUACUCUUGCAGCCAUCAGGAAACACUAGUCCACUUCCAGUGUUCUCUGUGGGACUAUGUUGUGCAACUCCCAGAGGCAUUCUGUGCUGUGAGAAACAAGUCCUCCCAAAAAGCCAGCAAGUAAUAGAAAUGUUUCACAGCCAAGGCUAGAACUGGUCACCAUCACCAAGUCGCUGAAUAGUUAUGGCCCAGAUCCACAGGAAUCCCAUCUGGUCAUUCCUCUGGGCUGAACCUGCACUGCAGUCCCACAGCUGUGCUUCGCAAUGCACUCUAAGUGAUACAGCUCUUGGCUCCUGCCUGAGUCAACUUUUAAAUCAUAUACAUACAUGCAGUUAAAGCACAGUAUCAUAGAUAGUUCACCCUAGAACAAGGUCUCCUUGGGGUAUGCAUCAGGUCUCUCCAUCCUUUUGCAUCACCCACCAAGU